AUUGAACGCUGGCGGCAGGCCUAACACAUGCAAGUCGGGCGGAUGAAGGGAGCUUGCUCCUGGAUUCAGCGGCGGACGGGUGAGUAAUGCCUAGGAAUCUGCCUGGUAGUGGGGGAUAACGUCCGGAAACGGGCGCUAAUACCGCAUACGUCCUGAGGGAGAAAGUGGGGGAUCUUCGGACCUCACGCUAUCAGAUGAGCCUAGGUCGGAUUAGCUAGUUGGUGGGGUAAAGGCCUACCAAGGCGACGAUCCGCAACUGGUCUGAGAGGAUGAUCAGUCACACUGGAACUGAGACACGGUCCAGACUCCUACGGGAGGCAGCAGUGGGGAAUAUUGGACAAUGGGCGAAAGCCUGAUCCAGCCAUGCCGCGUGUGUGAAGAAGGUCUUCGGAUUGUAAAGCACUUUAAGUUGGGAGGAAGGGCAGUAAGUUAAUACCUUGCUGUUUUGACGUUACCAACAGAAUAAGCACCGGCUAACUUCGUG
rnacentral:rRNA from 1 species